AACGAACGCUGGCGGCAGGCCUAACACAUGCAAGUCGAGCGGAUGAGGGGUGCUUGCACCCCGAUUCAGCGGCGGACGGGUGAGUAAUGCCUAGGAAUCUGCCCGAUAGUGGGGGACAACGUUUCGAAAGGAACGCUAAUACCGCAUACGUCCUACGGGAGAAAGUGGGGGCUCUUCGGACCUCACGCUAUCGGAUGAGCCUAGGUCGGAUUAGCUAGUUGGUGGGGUAAAGGCUCACCAAGGCGACGAUCCGUAACUGGUCGGAGAGGAUGAUCAGUCACACUGGAACUGAGACACGGUCCAGACUCCUACGGGAGGCAGCAGUGGGGAAUAUUGGACAAUGGGCGAAAGCCUGAUCCAGCCAUGCCGCGUGUGUGAAGAAGGUCUUCGGAUUGUAAAGCACUUUAAGUUGGGAGGAAGGGCUGUAAGUUAAUACCUUGCAGUUUUGACGUUACCGACAGAAUAAGCACCGGCUAACUUCGUGCCAGCCGCCGCCGUAAUAC
rnacentral:rRNA from 1 species